ACAAUGGGUUAAAUUAGUGGCCCCCUAGCACCGCGAGAUGUUAGUGACAACUCAUCAAAUUGCUGGAACUCCCUAAAGCCUUUAUACCAAAGCGAAAUUAGAAAUGAUAAGCGCGGCUGUGCGAGAGCAGAAAAAAGUUAAAGGAUUGAUUGGAAGCCGCAAGGGAUCUAAUCUUUACAAUGGGUAAUCAGCAGCCAAGCUCCGCAUAAAAGGAGAAGGUUCAACGAACAGAGGGUGAGUAUCUUUAACUCAAUUGUUUUACCUAUUUUGAAUUGAGACAAAGAUAAUGGUAUGUUCUAGCCCCUACUGAAAGGAUGGG
rnacentral:ncRNA from 1 species